AAACUACUCCCUUCGUCCGAAAAUACUUGUCGAAGAAAUAGAUGUAUUUAGACGUAUUUUAGUUCUAAAUAUAUCCAUUUGUAUUCAUUUCUCGGACAAGUAUUUCCAGACAGGGGGGGUACAUG
rfam:Triticum aestivum genome assembly, contig: Triticum_aestivum_CS42_TGACv1_scaffold_514618_6BS